rnacentral:misc_RNA from 1 species
UCCGGUUUGUUUCCGGCGGUCUCCCUAGAUAUGCAACUAAGGACAAGGGUUGCGCUCGUUGCGGGACUUAACCCAACAUCUCACGACACGAGCUGACGACAGCCAUGCAGCAUCUGUGUAUCCGUCCUUGCGGAGGCACCCCUUUCAGAGUGUUGCGAAUACAUGUCAAGCCUUGGUAAGGUUAUUCGCGUCGCAUCGAAUUAAACCACACGCUCCGCUGCUUGUGCGGGUCCCCGUCAAUUCCUUUGAGUUUUAGUCUUGCGACCGUACUCCCCAGGCGGGCCACUUAAUGCGUUAGCUUCGGCACGGAAGGGGUCAACACCCCCCACACCUAGUGGCCAUCGUUUACUGCUAGGACUAC